GUUAGGAAUAUUGGACAAUGGGCGCAAGCCUGAUCCAGCCAUGCCGCGUGAGUGAUGAAGGCCUUCGGGUUGUAAAGCUCUUUAGCCGAUGAUUAUAAUGACUGUAGUCGGAAAAUAAGCCCCGGCUAACUUCGUGCCAGCAGCCGCGGUAAUACGAAGGGGGCGAGCGUUAUUCGGAAUCACUGGGCGUAAAGCGUGCGUAGGCGGCUUUGCAAGUUGGGAGUGAAAGCCCAGGGCUCAACCCGUGAAUUGCUCUCAAAACUGCAAGGCUCGAAUUCGGGAGAGGAUAGCGGAAUUGUCAUUGUAGCAGUGAAAGUCGUAGAUAUUGACAGGAACACCAGUGGCGUAAGCGGCUAUCUGGACCGAUAUUGACGCUGAGGCACGAAAGCGUGGGGAUCAAACAGGAUUAGAUACCCUAGUAGUCC
rnacentral:rRNA from 1 species